rnacentral:tRNA from 1 species
GCGGGUAUAGCUCAGAGGUAGAGCGACGGCUUCCCAAGCCGUGCGUCGGGGGUUCGAUUCCCCUUACCCGCU